AGCCCGGGCUCUUGUGCAGUCUGGUUCUGCCUCGUUCGUGGGCUUCGAGAGAGAGAGAGAGAGCUGACCCCCCCCGAGGAGAUUAAAGGAAGCGAAGCGCUCCCCAGAAAAGUGGCGUGGCUGCGGAGGAGAUCGGCUGCUUCGGAGAGGUGGGACGGUCCAGGCGAGACCUGCAGGUUCCACAGAUUACUAGAUGCCCAAAGACAGGUAGGCAAUGCCCCGCUUCACUUUUGCCUGCUUCUGUAGUCUUCACGGUCUCUGCAAGAGAAAGAAGAAAAAGAAAGAUGAAGAGAAAGAGGAGGUGGAGGGAGCAGAACGCCAGCAGCGCCAAGAGACAGAGGUGUGAUGGGCUGGAACUGCCCCGGGGGGCCAGACUGAGCUCUCUCUCCCUGGCAUGCCUUUAUCUGCCUAACUCAGUCCAAAUGCCAUGAGUCUAGUUCCCAAGGAGUGUGUCUGUGUUUGUGUUUGUGUGUGUGUGUGUGUGUGUGUGUGUGUGUGUGUGUUUGUGUGUGUGUGUAUUUUGCGUAUGCAUGCUGAAAAAUGCAAAAAUGUCACACUUGAUCACACAGGGUUGAAGUGUCUAGAAAUGGACUGUGAGUUGCUAUGGAUGUAAGCAUCCGUAAAGAAAUGGGAAGUGCAAAAGCAGUGCUGUGAGAGUAGAGAGCCCAGAUGAGAGUAGACCUGUGGCCCUCCACAAAAGGUUCCUAGUAUUACUCCCCCAGCACAAAUCACCCAGUAAGUGGACUGAUGAGGUGCCCCAGCAUGUACAGUAUACUGUAAUAGGUCAGAGCUUAUACUUAUACUUACUACUUACUAUAAGACUGUGCUUUAGGAACGCUCUAAAGCGUAAGGAUAUUAUGGAGGUAUUACAGAACUGCUGUAAUAGCUACUGUAAAUCUUAUAGUACUAUAUUUCUUUAUUGUGAGGGGCAAUACAGCCAACAGGGGUUGUGUUGGUGGGGAUAAGUCCUAUCCCUGCAGAAUGUGGGACUUUAUUAAAUGGGGGACCCACACCAGUCUUUCGGCUGACCCAGAAUGUUCAGUCAAGAGUAUUGGAAAACGUCGAUGGACAGAUUGAGUUCAGCAGGGCCCCAUCUCUCAGCUCUUCUAUUAGUGGAAUAAAAUUACACUCAGGAAGUCUUCAAGGUUUCAAGUAGUUCUUGGACACAGGUGGCCCAGUCCUACUGCUAAGGGAUGGAGAACUUUUGGAGCAUAAGUGAUUUAUGCAAUGAGCACCACCUGUCGGACUAACAACUUUAAUAGGUCAGCGAGCACGGGAUGAGCGCUGACCCUAGGUUUGGAUCCCACACGGUCGACUUGUGGUUCCAAAGACUAAAUGUCUCUCUCCAACCCCCCCCCCCCCCCCAACUUUCUCCCUUAUUCUAUCUUUCUCUUUCUCUUACUCUGCCUCUCUCCUUAAGCAGAGAUUGUUUUCUGAUUGCUGAAGAGGUAAUCAGGUGCCUGAAGGGAGAGGAAAAUGCACUUCCACAAAAUGCCAUCACAACUGUGUGUGUGUGUGUGUGUGUGUGUGAGGGGGGGGGGGGGAGGGUGGCUUCCAUCUGUCUUUUCCAUCUGCAAAAUUACACUUCAGAUUUUGGCCUGUGGUAAGUUUCACCUGCCUUCCCCUCAAUUACUGUUGGGACAUUUAAGUUAGUGAGAAUGUGAAUGAGGUGUCUGGAUUCUUUGGUGUCUGGCACAUUCUAUCAAACGCCAAGCCUCUCAACCAAGAGCACAGCUGGCUCUUUCUCCAAAGAAAUGACUCAUAGACAAAUAUUGACCCAUUGGUAGUACUCUUUUGCAAAUCCUAUUUCCAAAGCAGAAGUGGCUGAGAUGAAGAAAUACAGUAUUUGCCAUUUUAGCAGCUUGCUAUUUGCAGUCUGGAUAUAGAAAAUGUCCUGGCAUUUCCCAGGAAAAUCUAAUGAAACUAGGAAAAUGGUAACACAAAUUAUCAUUCAUUUCCAAUGGAAAUGGUUCUCAUUAUCAUUCUGAACUGAGAUUGCAUAGGGACAUUAAACAUUGUACUGAGAAAUGCCAGGUGUGAUAACGUCACCCAUUAUGCGGUUGACUGGGUUGAUAACCAUCCCGCCACGUAAUCAGCCUGCAGGCACGGAUUUAAUCAAUCUCAACUCUAACAAUCCUAACAGUCCAACUUUUUCUUCUCCUCAAAGGCCUCUGCCUCACUGUGGCCCUAGCGUCUCCUGAAGACAGAGGUGGUGGCUGAGCAAACCUGUCCCUGCUCGGGUCUGUAGAAAGUCUGUUGAGGUUAAUUACAGAAAUAGCGUCUCACCAACUGAUGGUCAAUUAGGCUAUGUAACAAUGAGUCACCUUGGACAACAGGAGAUUGGUCUGGAGCUGAAGCUGAGGGUUGCCAUGGGGAUACUGUGGGCUCUGAGAGAUGACCCUCAGGUCUUGUCUUCCUGCGGCUAAAUUGGCACAUCCAUCCUGGGUGACAGUCCCUUUGAAAUGUAGCCAUCAUGGCCAGGAUCAGUCAGCGGAUUGCAUCUUGCCCUGUCAAGUCUGGAGGGGGAUCAAUGUGUGCAGUGCAAAUGUGUGCAGUGCUGGUGUUGUCACAUAUCUAACGGGCAAGUUUCAGCUUUCAGUAGUUUCCCCUCUGCCAUAACAUCCAGACUUUUCUCUGCUUUCUCCAUGGAUAUGCAGUGCAAAGACACAUACAUUUGUGUGGAAUGCUCCAGAGAGAGGCUGGCAAGCUCUGGCAGAAAUCUCUGUGAGUAAUGCCACUAGAUAACCAAUUUUCGCAAAAGUGACCACUCUCCCUGAUCCCCCCCACCCCCUCCUUUCCCCUGCAAAUCCCCCAUAGACACGGCUAGAGACGGACAGAGGUCGUUUGUCAUUGUGAGCAUUCGCGUUUCCUCUUAUCUGAGACAGCAAGGGAGAGAGAGAGAGCGAGAGGUCAAGAGAGAUAUUUGGAGACGGGGAAAGAGGACAACAGACAUGGGCGAGACAAGGACAGGGGUGGGGACGGCGGUGUCUGUGUGUGUGUGUGGGUGAGGGUGUCACUGACACAUGAUGGGACUUGUCCAGCCUCCCACCUGACAGGCAGGGUCCCAUCCUCGGCCAUCCACUAAUGAAGAUUAAAGUAGGCUUCCUCAUGCUAAGCCCCGCUAAUUAACCAAUCAGCCGGACGGACAGCUCUGACGCGAGUCAACAGCGACGGGCAGACAGCAAUAGGAGAGGAACGCGCCGGCCGCCAGGGCCAGCGAAUGGGAUUGUGUAAUUGCGAUGGUAAUGGAUUCUGUCAGGGGUACCUGUCAGGGAGCCGGCUGCAAACUCGCAAAAAUAAGAGGGGGAAGGGGGGGAUUAACAUGGGGGUGCAGAUGGAGUCUAAGUGGCCCCCCACCCUUACCAUCUCCUCUCAGCCAGGCCCAUCUGAUUGCCAAUUUGUGCCAGUCGCCGUGCAUCACAGCGCCGCCGGAUAAGAUGGGGUGGGGGGGGGGGGUGACGGCAGCGGCCUUUUUUUUUUUUUCACUCCGGCCAACGGUGCCGACGAGACGGCAAAAGUGUGUGUCAGAGGGAAUAAAUGAGGCGGGCGGCCGAGAUUGAGAGACGGGCAAGAUUUUCGGCUUUAAUUUUCCAGUUUCGAGGAAUGCACCAGUGAUUUUUUUUCUCCCGUCUGUGUGGGCGGAGAGGCGCUCCGCCGACCGAGCGUUAUCAGAUGGUGCUCUCUCUGCCACGCUUGGCAGCCCCACCAGAUUAAUGAGAGAGAGGGAGAGAUGGUGAAAAUCUUCUCUUAACACAGGAAAUGGAGCUAAGAUGCUUGAGACACUCUUUAGAUGUGAGCGAGUAGGAGAUCAGGCUCAAUGGAACAUGACAGAGUUCCUAUUUCACGUGUUCCAGGUGCCUGAUCCCGACAGCGCAGCUGUAAGCUACUGUUUUUUUCCCAACUAGUGGUUGUCUGCUGUUAGAAUUUGGCAAUUACAAUCAAGUCGUAAAAAUUGUUUGGAUGAUGAAUUCAUUGAUCACAUUCAUUUAUAAGACUGUUUAAAAGAAAGUAUCAGGAAUCUCACUCUGUUCAAGUGAAAGAGUUGUGAUCAUCUGAACAAGGCACAGCAUCAGUACAAUCACAUUGAAAAUCUGUGGGCUGAUGAUCAAAUCCUUUAUUGUUUAUUAUACAUACAUAGUAUACAACAAUUGAAGGCUCAAAUAUCAUGAUCGUAGUAUAAUAUCGUAAUACUCCCAACAACAGGAUGUGAUGGUGCUCUACAUAAUAUAUGCAGUGGGUUUAAAGAUAUUAAAGUCUUAAUAGACAUUAACAACACACUAACAUUGCAUUCAUGACAUAAACAUGAGACGAUGUAUCCAGUAUGAUCCCAUGUUGGAUCCAUCCCAAAAAUUUGGAACACAUGUCUACAACUUUAUGUAUUUUAUCUUUAGUCCAGUGUUUCUUAAACGUUUUCUGACCAAGGACCACUUAACCAAUAAAAAAAAAACUCACGGACCACCUAGCUAAAAAAAAAAGGAGU